UCCGGCUUAUCACCGGCAGUCCCUCUAGAGUGCCCAACUUAAUGCUGGCAACUAAAGGCGAGGGUUGCGCUCGUUGCGGGACUUAACCCAACAUCUCACGACACGAGCUGACGACAGCCAUGCAGCACCUGUGUCCAGGUUCCCUUUCGAGCACCCCCACCUCUCAGCAGGGUUCCAGACAUGUCAAGGGUAGGUAAGGUUUUUCGCGUUGCAUCGAAUUAAUCCACAUCAUCCACCGCUUGUGCGGGUCCCCGUCAAUUCCUUUGAGUUUUAAUCUUGCGACCGUACUCCCCAGGCGGUCAACUUCACGCGUUAGCUGCGUUACCAAGUCAAUUAAGACCCGACAACUAGUUGACAUCGUUUAGGGCGUGGACUAC
rnacentral:misc_RNA from 1 species